rfam:Zootermopsis nevadensis contig26271, whole genome shotgun sequence.
GCCACGGUGGUCUAGCGGUCAGAACGCUGGCCUUGUAAUCCUGGGGUCUCGGGUUCGAUUCCCGGCGGUGCCA